rnacentral:rRNA from 1 species
AGAGUUUGAUUCUGGCUCAGAACGAACGCUGGCGGCAGGUCUUAGGCAUGCAAGUCGAACGGAUGACAAGAGAGCUUGCUCUCUUGAAGUCAGUGGCGCACGAGUGAGUAACGCGUGGGAAACUGCCCUUCACUGGGGAAUAACGUUUGGAAACGAACGCUAAUACCGCAUACGCCCGCAAGGGGAAAGAUUUAUCGGUGAUGGAUGUGCCCGCGUUGGAUUAGCCAGUUGGUGGGGUAAUGGCCUACCAAAGCAAUGAUCCAUAGCUGGUCUGAGAGGACGAUCAGCCACGCUGGAACUGAGACACGGUCCAGACUCCUACGGGAGGCAGCAGCUAAGAAUAUUGGGCAAUGGAGGAAACUCUGACCCAAGCCAUGCCGCGUGAAUGAAGAAGGCCUUCGGGUUGUAAAGUUCUUUUAGUCAUGAAGAUGAUGACAGUAGUGACAGAAAAAGCACCGGCUAACUUCGUGCCAGCCGCGGC